GUAAAAUUUCUAUCACCUCUAAGAUCUAAAAUACUAUUUCAAAGAAACAAAACCCCUUUUAUUCUUUUUUAUUAUUCAGGUAUGAAUAAUGCAUGAUCGCUGCAGCGACCAGGGCAACAUCAACAACCAUAUCAGAUGAGCCCGUUGCUCAGACGGGGCCAGCUCUGAGAUCCCGAUACUUCCACAUCUUGACCUGUGACUACUUCUUUCCAGAGCAACGGGAUGUGUAGUUCCUUAUGUAACAAAUGUAAUCGGCCAAGGAUUUAUUAUUGUGAGGAAAUUUGGAGUUAUUGCUGGAUGGGAAGAGUGUGGUUGAGAAAUAUCAGAUGAGCAUCAGUGGACACUGGCUACUACUGGAAGCUGAAACGCCCGGGAAGCAAGAAAGACACACACUCCCCUGAGGCUCCCAGAGGAACACAGCCCUGCCUAUACCUUGACUUGAUAUGAAGCAAUCCAGUUUGUGUCAAUUGUUAUGGCAGCCUUAGGAAACCAACUCUAUGGCC
rnacentral:lncRNA from 1 species